ensembl:lncRNA
GAAGACGCAGUUCAUCACAGCUUAACGACCAUGAGCUGUGAUGUCUGUGAAUAAAGUCUGCGGACUUCAUGCCUCCAGUGUCAGGUGAAAGAAAGUUUCAGGUCCCAACAGCAAUUAUAAGUGACUGGCACUGGGUGUGAAAACUUCCUCACCGCUGUUCCUAAAAAACUCUCUAUUGAAGACUGAGCCAUUGAGGUGUCUGCAUGAUUUGAGUCUGUUUUCUUUCCCCUUAAAGGUGACAAGCUCUAAUUUUAUUUUAUUCUUGGUAAACUUGAAAAUGAAAGGUCCUGCCUGGGCUGUGUGGGAGAAGCCGUGUGCGCCUUUGCAUUCAAGAAAACAUCUUGGUUUUGGAAUCUGUUACUACCCAAUUACGUAUCCCUCCUCUCCAAAUUCAUACUGAAACCAUAACCCCUGGUAUACCUCAGAAUGUAACUACAUUUAGAGAUAGG